rnacentral:rRNA from 1 species
UAGGGAAUCUUCCGCAAUGGACGCAAGUCUGACGGAGCAACGCCGCGUGAGUGAAGAAGGCUUUCGGUUCGUAAAACUCUGUUGUUAGAGAAGAACAGCGCAUAGAGUAACUGUUAUGCGUGUGACGGUAUCUAACCAGAAAGCCACGGCUAACUACGUGCCAGCAGCCGCGGUAAUACGUAGGUGGCAAGCGUUGUCCGGAUUUAUUGGGCGUAAAGCGAGCGCAGGCGGUCAAUUAAGUCUGAUGUGAAAGCCCCCGGCUCAACCGGGGAGGGUCAUUGGAAACUGGUUGACUUGAGUGCAGAAGAGGAGAGUGGAAUUCCAUGUGUAGCGGUGAAAUGCGUAGAUAUAUGGAGGAACACCAGUGGCGAAGGCGACUCUCUGGUCUGUAACUGACGCUGAGGCUCGAAAGCGUGGGUAGCAAACAGG